rnacentral:pre_miRNA from 1 species
CUACUACUCCCUCCGUCCAAAAAUACUUGUCAUUGAAAUGGAUGUAUCUGGAUGUAUUUUAGUUCUAGACACAUCCAUUUUGAUGACAAGUAAUUCUAGACGGAGGGAGUAUUAU